ACAUUCAUUAUCCUCUUUAAUUCUCUUAAGAAUUGUAUGAGCUGGGUGCGGUGGCUCAGGACUGUAAUUCCAGCUACAUGAGAGGAUUGCCUGAGGCCAGGAGUUUGAGACCAGCCUGAACAACAUAAUAGACUGGGAGCUCCAUGAGGUCCGAGACAACCUGAAGACGCCCAGCUCAGCAGAGACUGGCUACGGCAAUCACUCAGUAACUAUUUGUUGAAUUGGACAUAAUAGAAGAGCUGAAGAAUUUUAAACAAGUCACCAUCAGUGCAGUGGAUUCCUCAAAGCAAACCUGGAAAUCUCGGCAUGAGUUGGAUUUAAGGCAGUACAUUUUCAGCUCCUGAAAAUUUGAACAGUUUCUCAAGAGAACAACUUGAAACAGAAAGGCAAGGAUGUAGAUGUGGUUGUAGAAGAUGAUGUCUGCGGCCACCAAACUGUCCACUGUGAAGACAAACCAUGCAUGUUUAGUAGGCAGUGGCUCCUCUUCCC
ensembl:lncRNA LINC00649 long intergenic non-protein coding RNA 649